CUCUUUCUGGAGAUUGCUCUUUUUGGAGGUUUCUUUGGAAGCUUACACAGGUGGAUCAUUGGAUGUGUUCAUCUGUGAGUGAGCUGUAGUCCAUGAGUGAUUUGUAUGCGGAGAUAAUAUGAAGUUGAAUGUGCUGGUGGUUUGUUAACUAUAGAAUCAUUCUGAAUCCUUAUUUGGAAAGGACCCACAAGGAUCACUAAGACCAACUCCUGGCUCUACAGAGGCUCACCUAAAAUCCAAACCCUGUGUGAGAGCCUUGUCCAAACACUCCUUGAACUCUGGCAGCUAGGUGCCAUGACCACUGCCCAAGGGAGCCUGUUUAGUGCCUGAGCACCCUCCGGUGCAGAACUUUUUCCUGAUGCAGCUUCAUGCCAUUCUGUAGUCUGCCAUGAGGUCUCCCCUCAGCCUCCUCUGCUUUGGCCUGAACAGACCUCAGUUGCUCCUCACACAUCUUGCCGUUUGGACCCUUCACCAUCUUUGUAGCCUUCCUUUGGAUGCUUUAUAAUAGCUUUAUUUCCUUCUUAUAUUGUAA